UGCUUUGGGUGCAGGGGCUGCUGCUUUGGGUGCUGGAGGUGCCAUGUUGAGUUCCAGAUACCCUACAUUGGGUUCUGGAUGCCCUACAUUGGGUUCUGGGGGUCUGCCUUGGGUGCUGGAGGUGCCAUGUUGAGUUCUGGAUACCCUACAUUGGGUUUUGGGGUUCUGCUUUGGGUGCUGGAGGUGUCACGUUGAGUUCCAGAUACCUUACAUUGGGUUCUGGAUGCCCUACGUUGGGUUCUGGGGGUCUGCUUUGGGUGCUGGGGGCGCUGCCUUGGGUGCUGGAGGUGCCACGUUGAGUUCUGGAUGCCCUACAUUGGGUUCUGGGGCUCUGCCUUGGGUGCUGGAGGUGCCACGUUGGGUUCUGGAUACCCUACAUUGGGUUCUGGAUGCCCUACAUUGGGUUCUGGGGGUCUGCUUUGGGUGCUGGGGGCGCUGCCUUGGGUGCUGGAGGUGCCACGUUGAGUUCUGGGUACCCUAUAUUGGGUUCUGGAUGCCCUACAUUGGGUUCUGGGGGUCUGCUUUGAGUGCUGAGG